UUCCCCGUUCGGGGGACAGGGUGACAGGUGGUGCAUGGUUGUCGUCAGCUCGUGUCGUGAGAUGUUGGGUUAAGUCCCGCAACGAGCGCAACCCUCGACCUUUAGUUGCCAGCAUUCAGUUGGGCGCUCUAAGGUGACUGCCGGCUAAAGUCGGAGAAGGUGGGGAUGACGUCAAAUCAUCAUGCCCCUUAUGACCUGGGCUACACACGUGCUACAAUGGGCGGUACAAAGGGUCGCGAACCCGCGAGGGGGAGCCAAUCCCAAAAAGCCGCUCUCAGUUCGGAUUGCAGGCUGCAACUCGCCUGCAUGAAGCCGGAAUCGCUAGUAAUCGCGGAUCAGCACGCUGCGGUGAAUACGUUCCCGGGCCUU
rnacentral:rRNA from 1 species